CCUACGGGAGGCAGCAGUGAGGAAUAUUGGUCAAUGGCCGGAAGGCUGAACCAGCCAUGCCGCGUGAAGGUCAGUGCCCUAUGGGCGUUAAACUUCUUUUGUGCGGGAGCAAUAAUGGUCACGUGUGGCCAGACGAGAGUACCGUACGAAUAAGCAUCGGCUAACUCCGUGCCAGCAGCCGCGGUAAUACGGGGGAUGCAAGCGUUAUCCGGAUUUAUUGGGUGUAAAGGGUGCGUAGGCUGUGAGGUAAGUCAGCGGUGAAAUGCCCGCGCUCAACGGGGUGAAGUGCCAUUGAUACUGCCGGGCUGGAGUGCGGAAGCGGUGGGAGGAAUGUGUGGUGUAGCGGUGAAAUGCAUAGAUAUCACACAGAACACCGAUUGCGAAGGCAUCUCAC
rnacentral:rRNA from 1 species